GGAACGAACGCUGGCGGCAUGCCUAAUACAUGCAAGUCGAACGAACACUUCGGUGUUAGUGGCGCACGGGUGCGUAACGCGUGGGAAUCUGCCCUUGGGUUCGGAAUAACAGUUGGAAACGACUGCUAAUACCGGAUGAUAUCGAAAGAUCAAAGAUUUAUCGCCCAGGGAUGAGCCCGCGUAGGAUUAGCUAGUUGGUGAGGUAAAGGCUCACCAAGGCGACGAUCCUUAGCUGGUCUGAGAGGAUGAUCAGCCACACGUGGGACUGAGACACGGCCCAGACCU
rnacentral:rRNA from 1 species